rnacentral:tRNA from 1 species
AGCUGGAAUAGCUCAAUUGGUUAAAGUGUGUGGCUGUUAACCACAAGGUCGGAGGUUCAAACCCUCCUUUUAGCGCCAAUUGUUGAUGCGGUUUCGGGAGUCGCUA